AUUGAACGCUGGCGGCAGGCCUAACACAUGCAAGUCGAGCGAGCGGCGGACGGGUGAGUAAUGUAUGGGGAUCUGCCCGAUCGAGGGGGAUAACUACUGGAAAAGGUGGCUAAUACCGCAUACUAUCGUAUGAACCCAUACGGGAUUAGCUAGUGGGUGGGGUAAAGGCUCACCUAGGCGACGAUCGCUAGCUGGCCUGAGAGGAUGAUCGGCCACACUGGGACUGAGACACGGCCCAGACUCCUACGGGAGGCAGCAGUGGGGAAUAUUGCACAAUGGGCGCAAGCCUGAUAGAGCAAUGCCGCGUGUGUGAAGAAGGCCUUCGGGUUGUAAAGCACUUUCGUCGGGGAGGCGUUACCCACCGAAGAAGCACCGGCUAACUCCGUGCCAGCAGCCGCGGUAAUUC
rnacentral:rRNA from 1 species